AUAGACAGAAAAAUCGUGGAUGAAGAACAGGGGCGGGAGGGACUUUCGCCGGACAGGGAGACAGAUAACGAACGAUGAGUUUCUUACUAACUCUUCCGUCCCCGACGAUUCUCAGUCCUCCGCUCAAGUUACCAAGCUCUGUCCGAAAACCAUGCUGCCUGCAGCUAGGUAGGGCGGAGGGAUAUCCGAGAGUGACAAUGAGAGGCGGAAGUGAAAACCGGAAGCCACUGCAGAAGGGGAGGAACCUCAGCAUCGAAGCAAUUCAAGCGGUGCAAUCGUUGAAGCGAACAAAGAAAGAUUUACAACAAUUGGACCGAGUGUAUGAUUCCAAAAUUAGGCGCUUAUUGAAGUUUGAUAUGUUGGCUGUUCUUCGCGAGCUCCUUCGCCAGAACGAGUGUUCUUUGGCUCUUAAGGUUUUCGAAGAUGUUAGAAAUGAACACUGGUACAAGCCUCAGGUCUCGCUGUAUGCUGAUAUUAUUACAGUAUUGGCUAGCAAUGGAUUGUUCGAACGAGUACAAAUUAUUCUUUCGUACAUGAAAGCAGAGACUGAUUUAGCACCUGAAAUUGACGGGUUUAACGCUCUUUUGAAGGCAUUGGUUGGUCAUAAUUUAGGUAAACUGGCGAUGGAGUCGUAUUAUUUGAUGAAGGAAGUAGGUUGUGAGCCAAAUAAGGCUUCUUUCAGGAUUGUAAUAAAAGGAUUGGAAUUAAAGGGAGAGGCAGUUGAUUUAAGAACUGUGAAACAGGAUGCACAAAAGCUUUAUGGUGAAUCACUCGAGUUUUUGGAGGAAGCAGAAGAGGGAGCUACAGCCAUAUCUAUACACUGAGCUGCAGAAUCAGGAGUCAAAUUAUGGAAUGGAAGGCAUAUACAGAUGAAGUUGUGUCAAGAAAGAUGGAGUUCAUUAGCAUUUCCUUUGAAGAAACCUGAAAAGACUCAGAAACUUCCCCUAGAUAUGAGCUUAACUGUACACUGGCUUAAGUCAACCCAUGCUUUGCAGAGAAUCUAUGUGAUAACUUUUCAGUCAUGGAAAAAUUGAUACUAGUGAUCUCAUGAAUGUUGGACGAGUUGUAUCAGUUUACUCUCCUCAUUCUUUAUUCCCAUGCCUGCUUGGCAGUGUCACUGAUUCACUGGUCUGUGCAGAGAAAAGCCGAUCAUCUUGCAACAUACUUCAGCUCCUGUAUGGUGAGCAUGAGACAAAUAAAAGGGGAAAUACUAGAAUAUAAGUCUUAAUCCAAGUUUACAGGUGCAACGCUGUAGGAAGUAAGUGCUCUUCCACUGCUGGAGGUAACUUCAAAAGAGAGAGGUUGUCCGUGAAGAUUGACAUUGCUUUGCCAGUUCUGUCCCCAGUUCCUUGCCAAUGCAAAUGCUGCCUCUGACAUCUCAAAGUGCUCCUUGGGAAAAUUACACCACCCGCCAUAAUCGGAAGACAAGCCGUAAUUGGGAGGACAGAAGUCGGUGGCUGUUAGAAUGACAGUCGGGCUUCCUUGCAAGCACCACAAGAUGUGAUCAACACAUCUAAGCUCAUAGCAGGCCCCACAGUACCAGAUUUCCAUUCUUCAUCCUUAGCCGCAAAGAUAUCAAAUGUUUGAAGAAGGACCAAAUAGUAGACUAUCAUAGCUACAAAACCAGCCAUUUCAGAAGAAUACAAGGCCUCGAAGAAGCCUGUGCUGUGUAUGUACUCAAAAUGAGCCCUUUGUUCACAUUGGUGGCGCUUUUAACGAGGCAAAGAACUAUUCUUCUUAGUUUGCCGAUAAUUGGGGGGCUCAAAGAAGCAAAUUUGGAGGCUUUCAUUUUAGCCAUUAUCAAUGUGGGAAGAGGUUGAGGCUCUAUGUCAAUGGCGGCAGAUGCAGAGAGGAAAUCCAUCCAUAAGAAACAGAAGACUAAAGGAAAAACACAAAUGGGGGCGUUUAGAGCUUGGAGUGGUUUAUUAUAAUAUGUGGUUAUUAUAGUCUGUGAGUUAUAAUAGUUUGUAUUUAAGAUAUAGAUUAUUAUAAUAUAUGUUUGGGAUGCAAAUCACUGUAAUUGAGUUACUAUAAUCUGUGUUUGUAUUGCAGAUUAUUAUAAUCUAAAUUAUAUCAAAAGUGAUUUUUUUUUUCACUAUUUUUUUUUGCAAUACACAUAUUUGUUUUUUUCAAUAGUUCAUCUUUAUUCUUCAAAAGUUAUUUAUCUACGAUCAUCAAAUACAACUUAUUUAUUUAUUUUUCAUUCUAUAAUUAACUAAUUUGAUUUUAGCAAACAAGUGCAUUUUCUAAUUUCGCAAAUACUUUUCUUUUUGUACAAGAACACAAAUCUUACACUAAUAAUUAAUAUAAUUUUUAUUCUGUUAAUAAAAAAUAUAAAUAGAAUUUAUUAGUGAAAAAGGGCAUUGCUAUUUAUUUCUUUCUCAUAUUAAUUUGUUUUUACAUUUUAAGACUGUUCUCUCCAUAUUUCAUUCAAAUGGUUAAAAUCUAUAAUUUAAGUAAACAUUAACAUUCAAAUCAAAAUCAAAACAUCUAUCCAUCUUAUUUACAAACAACCAUACACAUUUCAUACGUAUUAGUGAAAGAAAAUUUAAGAAAAUUUAUAAAACACGAAAUUUGAAACUAUUCUUUUUAUCUUUUCACCAUAUAUAAACUAAAAUAUGUGACACAAAAUCCAAAACAUUGCUCAUCAAUGAGCAGUAGUAACAUAAAAUUGAUAAAAGAAAAAAAGAAAAAAAAAUAGUGGAAUUAAGAUUGCAAUUUAGGAGCUCCAUUGUUGUUGUUUUUCCGCUCUGAAUCUUGUUUUGUCUAGCUCUAGCAACCAAAUAUUUUGUAUAAUCUUUUCGAAGAAUAUCUUCCAAAGAGAGAGGUUCAAAUCAAGAAUCCCCAUUAGGCCCAAGGAAAGAUCAUACAAAGGAAUUUCUUCAAUUGAAAUUUGUAGUUCCGAUUAUACUGUUGCUAUGUUUUGCAAUUGACGGUUCAGAUUCAUCGUGAUUAUUCUCACAUUUGAGUUUGAGGAUUUCAUAGUUAAUUUAGCUAUUUCCACGGCAACCGAACUUGAGGUCCCAAUUUCUGGAUUUGCUAAAUGAUUAUUGAAACCACCAAGAAUCAUCUAUUCGAGAAAGAAAAUAUACAUAUUGAAUCGAACAGAAAAAAGGAAAAAUAAUUCAAAUAAGAUUAAAAUAACAACAAACCUUCGAAAGGAUUCGAUGAAGCAAAACGAACGAGGGAGUAGGAGACUGAGACGAAGGGUUUCAGAGAAGGAAAAGAUCGAUGAGCUAGGAGAGGAAGAUGGAGAAGGAGAGGCGUAGAGUUGAGUGGAGAAGAGAUCGUUUGGCCAGGGAGAGAAGACAGAGAAGAAUCGAUGCAGAGUUGGGAGGGAAAGAAAAUAAUGUGGCUGUUGAGUUGGGAGGAGCAGGAACAGUGAUUAGCCCUAAUCCCCAAAUCAAACUCAAUCCUUGAGCCAAAUAUGGAGUGGGCUUACUCCACUCCAAUCUGUGGGCCAAACAUGCCCCAUGAGUUUUGUAAAAAGAAGGCAUAAUUGAAGCACGAGAAUCAAGAAAAAAUAAUAUUAAAUAAAUAAAUAAGAAAAUUAAGAAAUAUAAACAAAAUUUUUCCAUUUAUCCAAGUAAUUUGGAAAACCCUCCAAUAUUUGUGUUUUUUUUUACAAAUCCACCGAAUGUUACUUUACAGUCAAUUUGGCAAGGCAAGCACAUAAGGAUUAGAUGACUAAUGUGUUGACAUGUGGUUAUAUAACCAUUAAGCACACCAAUGAAUAUCCGUAAGUUAAUAGUAUUUAUAACUACGAGUUCAUUUUGAUUUUUUUUUAAAUUUAUUAUAGUUCUAAUUUACCCACAUUUUGUUCUCCUUGGGAUGGAGAUAAUAGGCAAAUUUAAGUUAGUGGCACUAUUCCCUAUUAUAUUUGCAAUUUAUUCUUACAAAAUAAAUUGAAGAACCAAUUUUGAUUUCCGUAGUUUGAACUUUGGUUUUAAUUCAAUCUAUAUGAUUCUAAACUUUCUGACAUUUUAAUGGACGACGCUUUGAAUUCUUCCGAAGAGUUUUAGGGGCUGUUUGGGAGGAUGUUUAACACUGUGGGGUUAGGUUAUGUUAAUCCUAACCCCCGUUUGGACGUAGGGUUAUGGAAGCCCUAGUUUUAGGGUUUCCAUAACACGGGUUGGGCCCUCAAAAUCUUCCAUUCUGUCUGCCGAUUUAUCUCCCUCGUGGUUCUCCUUCAACCCGUGUUAAUCCAUCUCAUUAAACCCGUUUCCCAUUUGAUCCCUCCUUCCCCUUCGAUUUCGAUUUCACUUCUUCUUUCUUCUUUCUUUUUCUUCUUCUUUCUCCCUAUUUCCCUUCGAUUCCGAUUUCACUUCCUUUUGGUUGCGGUUUGGUCUUCGAUUUCGAUUUCGAUUUCGAUUCUGAUUUAUGAGGAGAAGGCAGGUGACUUGGGUCUCGGGGAGCUGAUUGAUGGCAACGAUUCGAGUGUCGGUCAAAUUUUUCAUUGUAAUGUUAACCCCACUUCUCAAAGGUUCGACACAAUUUACUCUCAAUUUUUCUAAAAUUCUUUAGAAUAAAUCAUGUUCUUAUGAAUUUGGAGUGAAUAGGAAGUUUAACCAUAAUAAGUUGUCUUAAUGUGGUUUCUAAAACAAAUUAACAGGUUAUUUUAUGGAAAGGUUUCAAAUAGCCCCUGCAUUUUUCUAUUACAGAUGAAAAAUAAAGGAGAUUGUAGGACAUUUUCCCCUGCCAUUGCUGGGCUUAAGCAUUUGAGAGACCUUUAUUUGCAUUACAACUUGUUGUUUGAAGAUAUUCUUAGAGAGAUUGCUAACUUGACUCUGCUUUCUGGUUUGUAUUUGAAUGUUAAUAAUUUUUCUGAGGAGAUUCCUUCUGAGAUUGGAAACAUGGGGAGCUUGCAAGUUUUUUCUUUGUUAUAAUCUGCUCAGUGGAAGCAUACCUACACAGCUUUCAUCUUUGAAGAAGCUCAAUGUUAUUGUUCUCCAAUCUAAUUAGUUAACUGGUACAAUCUCUGCAAGCUUGGGACGUUUGGACUUGUUAGUGAGAGUAGACUUGAGCUCCAAUCAUCUGUUUGGUUUCGUUCCUUGAAGGCUCGCUGAUGCGCCUUCGCUUGAAGUUCAUGAUGUUUGAAACAAUACCCUCUCUGGCAAUGUACCUCCUGGUACCAAUUGAUCUUUAAACCAUUUUAUAAGGAAGAUGUACUUAUUUUUUUGUGUUCUGUUCA